GAUGUACUCCCUCCGUCCGGAAAUACUUGUCAUCAAAAUGGCUAAAAGAAAGAUGCAUCUAGACGUAUUUUAGUUCUAGAUACAUCCUUUUUUAUCCAUUUUGAUG
rfam:Triticum urartu cultivar G1812 contig1454491, whole genome shotgun sequence.